AUUUGUGGGCUUCAGUGGAACAGGCAUCACAAAGAGAUAAGAAGUGGUCAUGGAUUUGGAAGGGGUAAAUCUCAUUGUCAGUUGUGUUUAUGGAGUUAUCCUUCCAUGGUUAGAAUUUAUGUUUGAGCUGAGGGUCGAUCGAAACCACCUCUCUACCCUACAAAGGUAGGAGUAAGGUAUGUGUCUCUUACCCUUCCCGUCCCAAACCCCACCUUUGGGAUUGUACAGGAUGUUUUUUAUUGUAUGCUCUCAUUAGGAUAAUAGUCACGCGAACUGACAUUGACAUGCAGUGUAUAAAAAUAGAUAAUGAUGUUGUUCAUUCGGAGACUUGUGGUGAUUAUCGGACCUUUCUUGUAUCUCUUCUGUGGCCUGGUCAAUAAAUGAAGAGUCCACACCAUACAAAUAGGUGUUAUUAGUAUGGCAUCAGUAUUGAAAACAUUGUGUGUAAAGCAGGCAGUUACUAUUGCAUGCUAAUUAAUGUUUACUUAGUAGCCGAGUUUGUUGAUCUUUGAGUCAAGCAAUUAGAGUAAAUCCAUGGGAUAUUGAAGCUGUGGCUGAGGCUUUAAAUGUGGGCAUUACAAUGUCUGAUUUCGAUAAACAACUUCUUCAUGAGAAGUACUACGCUAUGUAAGCUCUGCUCUCAUUCAGGGAAUGGAUAAACUUCAGCUGACUCUCUCACAGGGCAUCCUAACUAUGACCACUGGAAUGGGAAGUUACAGUUAUCUGAUGGUUUCCAGUAUGGAAAAGUUAGAAGCACUGGAAAGUUUUGUUAACCAGGCAGAUCACCUUUGGCAGCAAACACUACAACAAAUGUCACUUAUCUUGACUACACGCCAAUCAGCCUGGGGUUUACUCGCUUUUGGAGAAUAUCUUCAACGUUUUCGUGCUCUAAGUUCUCUUUGGGCUGCCCAUCCUCAUGAACCUACCUAGCCUAUUAUGACCAAAAUUGAUGAAAAUAACUAAGUUUCCUUAGCUGCAGCUGUUAGUGCCUGAACGAGCUGCAUAUGGAAAAUGUAAUCAAAGUCCUGUCUAGAUUGUGAUAUGGUUUUCAUACUCCGAAAAACAUAUUAUUCAGGAGUCAUUUUUUCCUUUGGCCUUCUCUACACAUCAUUGAAAAGCAGAAAAGCAAGGUUAUGGUGGUAUGGAACUGGGUGGUUCAGAAGCUUUUUUGCGGAUUAUGGAGUUUCUUUAAUGGUUCUUGUGUGGUCGGCACUCUCAUAUGGAAUGCCAAGCAAAGUGCCCUCUGGAGUACCCAAAGUCACCAAGCAGUUUUCAUAGAGAUCGAUAGUUCUCCUGAUGCAAGUCUGUCUCUUCUCAUUGCCUAUAUCUUGGCAAUUAUGACAUUGCUCUUAAUUUGCAAAUAAUUGUUCAUACAAUUCUUCAAUAUCCUUUUUAAGCUUACUUAUUCAAAGGAUUACUGUUCUAUAAUUGUUAAAUAAUGGUUGUAGUCCACAUUAGAGAACAUUUUAGUUCAUAUAGGUAAAUAUUGAGCUUUGUAAAAUGAACAGUUUGUAUCCUAUUGCAGACCACAGUAGCUAAAGAGUUGGAACAUCUAAAAGAGGCAGUAAUGAGUACUGAAAACAAAAAUGGAGAUAAAGCAGAGGUCACAUUUGAUACCAUUGGAGAAUCGAUAGUUGGAAGUGCCAUUUAAUAGUUAUAUUCUUUCUAUUACUCAUUUUACAGCAUAUGAGUAUAGGACUGGAGGUAAAUGAAUUCAGCAGGGGCAUCCCAAAAGCACAGUUGUGGCUGGCCGUUAUAGUUGGUUCAUUUGGUGUGUGGGUCAGAUGAUUCUUAGCACGACUAAGAAUAUAUCAGCAGCUUGCAGUAGUUUCAAACAUGAAGAAAGUAGAUACAUCUAAUGUAAGGCCGAUGAUGCUAGAAUCUGUUGAUUUGGAGAAAUACUUUGAUCCCUUUCCCACUGGUGAGACCGGAGACAAUUCCCUCACUUUCAUCCCCCUUCAGGAGGAAAAUUGCAUAAAAAGAUUUUGGAGAAGAGACAAAUUGGAAAAAAUUGAGGGAGUAACGAAAGGAGCAGCGAAAGAAGCAACAAAAGGAGCAGCGAGAAGCUGAUAUGUUGAAUGCUACAGAGACAAUAUCCAAUAGAAUGGUAUUUAUAGAAGUUAAAUUUGUUGGAACGUGUCUGUAAUAAUUUAGCCAGAGUAGGAUUUUAUUUUGUUUUUAUACUAAUUAGUGAGAAUAGGAUUAAGGGAUUUUUUUGUAAAUGUAGUGUGUUUGUACUAAUUUAGUGGGAAUAGGAUUAAUAUUUUUACUAUAAAUGUAGUGGCAUCUUAGAAUGAAAUCGG